GGUCUAGCUGAUGCAUCAUUAAGAGCAUCCUGCUCCAGAGUAUCUCUGGCCAUGGCCCGAGUCCUAGGUGGCAUCUUUACCUAGACAAAAGCAAGCACUCAUCAUAAGCCUUAACCACUAAAGGCAUUACUCGAUCAUUAUACACAUAUGUAAAGGAAACAAAAGAGUCUAGAACAGAUAAAGGAACCUACAAUAAUCUCUUAUUCACAAUUUGUGCCUGGGAACACAAACCACAAACAAUAUUCUACAUACACUUCAUUGGACACAAGAAAAAAAAAGCCUAAUGAAAAUACUUGCAAAAAUUACAUCUUUAGCAUUAAUGAAGAGAAGACAAGAUUUUGCACAAUUUUACAACUAUGCCACUGGUGAAGUGCACCCUCCCUUGUAGAAAUAAAAUAAUACAAAUAAUAAAACUAUGAAUGUUAUAAAUUCGUUUCCAAGAAAAUAAAACUAGAUUUUUAAAAUCUUUGGUUGCAAGUUUUAUAAUAAAACUCGCCAAGAGAAAGACUAUUAACUCCUGGUCCACAUUACACCCUUAUGCUUGUCUAUGCGUGUCAAAAAUAAGGGUUCUACAAACAUUAACAGGAAAAGAGUAAAACAAAAAUGACGCAAUACCAUGUCAAAACAAAGGCAAAAGCAAAAGACCAAAUACUACAAAGAAACACAUCCAAACUCAAAACAGUCAACACAAACAACAUAAAUAUUGGAAAGUUAAAAUGACAAGAAGAGCGAAAAUAAAGCUGAAAAGGAAAAACCAAAAACAUAAAGCAAACAAAACCACUUCCAAAACCAAGAAUAAAAAACUGACAUUGACAAUCCCAAAUACUACCAGACCUAAGAAUUACAAUCCCGAAUACUACAAAGGGGAGAUGACAUUGUUUUAUUGGAAGGCAAGUUUAUGCAUCACAUGAGAAUUGAGAAAUCACUCAUCAGAAUAAUGCCAAAUUGACGCAAUCAAAUAUGUCAGUGUGAUAGGAUGACUUACAUAGCCUGAAGAGUUUCACUCUUUUGGCUGGGAAGGGUACCUGAAAUGAAGAAACAACAGAAGAGAAUAAAUGUUAUCUAUCUACAACUUAUAGCUUACAAAUAAGUCCAAGAUACAUAAAUUAAGAUUUUCAACUAUUGACGGAGAUGGGUUUCUUUUAGCUUACAAGUCUGUAAGAGAACUCAUUGAAUAAAGCACUUGUAAUUUGGCCUGUUAAUGAGUUUAAGUUCGCAACACUGGAUGGUAUAGGUCCUGCAAAAGAGUUCCCUUCAAAUCUCCUGUAUAAACAUUUGAUAGAUCACUUGUCAAACUGAUGAAAAAUCUAGGCAGAGCUAUCCUAAUGCUGAUUCAAAGAGAAUUAAUUUGAAAGAUUAACCAAAACGUUUUCAUAACUACCAAUGAUUGAAGCUUUGUCCAGUUAUUGCAAAUAAAAAACUGGUCACUGUUAUUUGAGCGGUGUCAGAUGCCCAUUUGAAAUUCAACAAAGCUCACUGUUAAAAAGGUGAGGUAACGUAAGGCAAUUUGCAGGUCCUGGAGAGAGAAAACACAGUAAAAAAUACAUAAUGCUAGUACAUAUACAGAAUUCAUCCUCACAGCAAAAAUAAAAACCAAUCUCACAGCAGGCAAACAGAAAAAAUAACGCUAAUGCUCUGUUACUUUUAUUUUAGUCUUUAUAAUACUAGCGGUGGGCUUUACUUGUGUGGUAAGACUUUCGUAGCUAAAAGCGCACUUUUCAUGAACCUUCCACUUCAUGGAAAAAGUUUAAAAUAUAAUGAAAAAGUUAAGAAAGAAAAGCUUAACUGACCUUCUGGGUAUUUCUUUAUAGUUGAGUACUUCAGAAUUCUCCUGAAAAAGAUGGGAAAAAACUCUGGGUUUUAGUGAGGAAGUAAUGCUACUACUAAAGUAGGUCGCAUUUCUUUGAGCACUAGUAAAAACAAAA
rnacentral:lncRNA from 1 species